UAAAUAAAAUCACAGCGAGCCAUACAAAUUCCACUAUUUCAAUAGUGGCCAUUCAAUACCAUUGUUGCAAGUUGUGUGGCCCAUAUAAGUGUUAGAUUUGCCUCAUAUUUGGGCCCACCCCUAAAACGAGCCAAUGAAAAUAGUAGAUAGGGUGGAUUUGUGACAAACAUCAGUGGGCCCCACUACCUUUUCAACUGUUCAUAAAAUGGACUACCCAAAAAGCCCAAAGUACAUAUAUAUGACCCAUGAUGAUAAUCAUGUCUACUAGGGCCACUGUAAUAAUAUUUAUUUGCCAUCCAACAUGUUUACAAGGACCUGAUGAGGAGAACAAACAUCACCUGAUCUAAAACCUAUGUGCAAAAUGUUUUCAAUCCCGGCUGUUUCAUGUGGUUUGGUCCACCAAUGAUGCCUUUGUGACAUCUAUUUGAGAAUACCAUCCAUCCAAAGUAGGGGCAACUAGAUGGAUGGACCUGAUUAAUUCGUUACCUUGCCUCCUGUACUGUGGAAGAGUUGUCACCACCGUAUUCCAGUUUCACCCACUUUACCGUAUCAAUCUCCUGAAAUGGACAUGGGCCAUCCACAUUCACCGCUUUUGUUUGAUGGUUGUUGCGUCGUAGAACGCAAUGAGUUCGUCGCAAGUCACCAAAAUCCUGACAAUUAUCCACUGCACAUGCAUUCUGUGUACGUGCAAGCCAAUCCAGUCCGUCCAAAGUAUGGGCCCUACCGUGGCACUGAUCAAUCAAUCCCAACAGUCCAAUUCGUGCCAACAAACAAAAACCAGGCGUGCAACCUUAUGAACGUGUUAGAUGGCAAAUAAACAUUACACUGGUCCUUGUAGGCGUGAUGAUAAGUGUGUAGUUGGGGCUUUUUGGAUGGUUGUCCAUUUAAUUCUUGAAGAAUAGUGGGGCCACCAUGUUGUUUAUAACAAAUCCAUCUCGUCCACUAUUUUCAUCAGCUUAUUUUUAAGGUGUGGGCCCAAAUAUGAGGUACGU